UUUAUAAAGUAGUUUAUCAUAAAGGCUUUGCUAUUUCUAAGUCAAUGGGUAGGCAGCAGGGAGAAUUUUGUGAUCCGUGUGUGUGUGUAUAAAAAUUUGACAAUUCAGCUUUCAUUUCCAUUGGCAGGCCACUACAGCUUGUUUGUACAAUGUGCUAAUUAUACACAUUCCACUGCAGUCCAAGUACAUUUCUGCUCCACAGGCUUUUGAUUUAGUAAGAAUACUGUUUCCCCCAGGAUUCUGGCCACUAAAACUUAUUACCUCAACGGCAAACUUUCUCUUCAAUGAUGAAACUUUGAAACUGGAUUUAUGAUAGCGGUCAAAAUGAUGACAGAUUUUUUAUCCAAAGGUAAAAACAGAAUGAACUUUCCAAAAUUUUAAUUUUAUUUAAUACAUUCAUUUUUUAAAAGAACUAUUAUUACAAUGGACUGAUUUCUCAUUGGAAGCAGCUGAUGACCCUGAUAUAAACUGGUGUCAAACCUGUUAGCAUGGCUAUAAUUAAAAAGAUGAGAUAAUGUGUGUUGGUGAGGGUGUGGAGGAAAGGGAACCCUUGUACGCUGUUGGUGGGAAUAUAAAUUAGUACAGUCAUUACUGAAAACAGCAUGGAGGUUCUGCAAAAAAUUAAAAAUAGGACUAUCAUAUGGCCCAGCAAUCCCUCUGCCAGGUAUUUACCCAAAGAGAUGAAGUCAGGCCGGGUGCAAUGGCUCACGCCUGUAAUCCCAGCACUUUGGGAGGCCGAGGCGGGCAGAUCACUGGAGGUCAGAAGUUCAAGACCAGCCUGGCCAACAUGGUGAAACCCCUGUCUACUAAAAAUACAAAAAUUAGCCAGGUGUGGCGGUGUAUGCCUGUAAUUCCAGCUACUUAGGAGGCUGAGGCAGGAGAAUCGCUUGAACCGAGGAGACGGAGGUUGCAGUGAGCUGAGAUUGUGCCACUGGACUCCAGCCUGGGGAUAUCUGCACUCCCUUGUUCAUUGCAGCAUUAUUCACAAUAGCCAAGAUAUGGAAUCAACCCAAAUGUCUAUCCAAUGGAGGAAUGGAUAAAGAAACUGUGGUAUCUGUAUCUCUCUCUAUAGAUCAAUACAAUGCAAUAUUAUUCGACUUUAAAAAAGAAGAUCUUUCAGGUAACUACUGACUUUUGAAGUAAAUUCUGAUGCUU
rnacentral:lncRNA from 1 species